UGUGUACAUGUACAUGAAAGACAACAUUAUGUUUCUACAACAAACUUCCUUUGACAUUUAUAUUUGACAACACUUCUUGGUUCGUUUCUUCACAUUCUGUGGGCGACACUGAUAUUUAUCAAGUGGAUUUUUCUCUUCCAGUACGCAGACCACAAUGACUUUAUAUUAGAGGUGAACAUCAACCAGACGAACUGUCUCAGUCAUCACUCAUCAACAAUGUCGAGCAUUUUAAUUUUGUGUGCCAUUCUUUUCAUUGUGGCCAUUAUCUUUUCUUGUGGGAAACUGAUUGAUCGACAGUUGGAAAAUUUGAUUUUUAAUCGAUGUACCGAAAAAAUACAUUCGUAUAUAAGCACUUUUACAUCGAAAUGUUCGGGGUCUUGCAAAUGUUUAAGAGUCCGUGUGAAUUACAAUGAUAACAGUUCAAACACAGAUGGAGAAGAAGAAUCAUCGCCGCCAUUUUUUAAUGAGAGGGUAUCCAAUCACUCAAUAGAAAUACAAGAACACAACAUAGGCAAUAAUUUUGAAACCUCCCAAACUAACCCUGAUCUUCUCCCAUCCUACGACGACAUCGUCCACACCCCUUUUCAACCUCCUCCCAGCUAUGAGGAAACCAUGAAGUAAUGUCUCAAAGCAUAACUUUUUCUUUCUCCGUCUCACAUAGAAUUGUGAAAGUUCGCCAUGUUUCUUUAAUCUUAGUUGACAUACGAUACGAUCUUAUUUACAUUAAGUUAGAAAUAAAUCAAAUAAAAAGUUC